CACGGCCCGAGCUGCAGGUGCUCGGGUCGUUCUGGUUGACAGCCGGUUCCGCCGGAAAAACCCGACCUCCUAAGAACAAGACAGGCUCCUAAAACCUAUUUUGCCUUGGAGGCAAAAACAAUGUCUGAACGGAUACAAGGUACGGUUAAGUGGUUCAACGGCGGGAAAGGCUACGGCUUCAUCGCUCGCGAGGGCGGCGAAGACGUGUUCGUCCACUUCUCGGCCAUUCAGGGUGACGGUUACCGCUCACUCGAAGAGGGCCAGAAGGUGGAGUUCACCGUUGAGAAGGGCCCCAAGGGCCUUCAGGCUGCUUCGGUCGUCGUCAUCUAGACGAUAAACCGACGGUCUCU
rnacentral:other from 1 species